rnacentral:rRNA from 1 species
UCGGGAUCUUGAGAGCGGCGUACGGGUGCGGAACACGUGUGCAACCUGCCUUUAUCUGGGGGAUAGCCUUUCGAAAGGAAGAUUAAUACCCCAUAAUAUACUGAAUGGCAUCAUUCGGUAUUGAAAACUCCGGUGGAUAGAGAUGGGCACGCGCAAGAUUAGAUAGUUGGUGAGGUAACGGCUCACCAAGUCUACGAUCUUUAGGGGGCCUGAGAGGGUGAUCCCCCACACUGGUACUGAGACACGGACCAGACUCCUACGGGAGGCAGCAGUGAGGAAUAUUGGACAAUGGGUGAGAGCCUGAUCCAGCCAUCCCGCGUGAAGGACGACGGCCCUAUGGGUUGUAAACUUCUUUUGUAUAGGGAUAAACCUACCCUCGUGAGGGUAGCUGAAGGUACUAUACGAAUAAGCACCGGCUAACUCCGUGCCAGCAGCCGCGGUAAUACGGAGGGUGCAAGCGUUAUCCGGAUUUAUUGGGUUUAAAGGGUCCGUAGGCGGAUCUGUAAGUCAGUGGUGAAAUCUCACAGCUUAACUGUGAAACUGCCAUUGAUACUGCAGGUCUUGAGUGUUGUUGAAGUAGCUGGAAUAAGUAGUGUAGCGGUGAAAUGCAUAGAUAUUACUUAGAACACCAAUUGCGAAGGCAGGUUACUAAGCAACAACUGACGCUGAUGGACGAAAGCGUGGGGAGCGAACAGGAUUAGAUACCCUGGUAGUCCACGCCGUAAACGAUGCUAACUCGUUUUUGGGAUGUAAGUUUCAGAGACUAAGCGAAAGUGAUAAGUUAGCCACCUGGGGAGUACGACGCAAGUUUGAACUCAAAGGAUUGACGGGGGCCCGCACAAGCGGUGGAUUAUGUGGUUUAAUUCGAUGAUACGCGAGGAACCUUACCAAGGCUUAAAUGGGAAAUGACAGGUUUAGAAAUAGACUUUUCUUCGGACAUUUUUCAAUGGUGUCUCAUAGGGGGUUUUUUGACUCGUGCCGUGAGGUGUUAGGUUAAGUCCUGCAACGAGCGCAACCCCUGUCACUAGUUGCCAUCAUUAAGUUGGGGACUCUAGUGAGACUGCCUACGCAAGUAGAGAGGAAGGUGGGGAUGACGUCAAAUCAUCACGGCCCUUACGCCUUGGGCCACACACGUAAUACAAUGGCCGGUACAGAGGGCAGCUACACUGCGAAGUGAUGCAAAUCUCGAAAGCCGGUCUCAGUUCGGAUUGGAGUCUGCAACUCGACUCUAUGAAGCUGGAAUCGCUAGUAAUCGCGCAUCAGCCAUGGCGCGGUGAAUACGUUCCCGGGCCUUGUACACACCGCCCGUCAAGCCAUGGAAGUCUGGGGUACCUGAAGUCGGUGACCGUAACA